AGUGAGGCAGGGCGGGGCGGGGCGGCACGUGGAGCUGGGGCGAGCAUGGCGCGGUGCGGGAGACUGCGGGCGGGUACCGCCACUAAGCUGCGGCGGUGGCGGAAGGGACACAGCAGCGACUGCAAUCCCGAGACUCGGCGGCACCGCCUGGCCGCGCGAAGCCGUUUCUACAGCCGGCCUGCCGAGAAAAGCAAUCUGACGGUGGAUGCGGUGAAGCUGCACAAUGAGUUGCAGUCAGGAUCCCUGCGUGUGGAGCGGCCAACUGACAGCUCUCAGUUGCCCAUGGAGGAGGGUGAUGCUGAGGAGGCUGCCACCCAGAAGUCCUCCGGCACCUUCCUGAGCGGGCUGAGCGACUGCACCAAUGUUACCUUCAGCAAGGUGCAGCGCUUCUGGGAGUCCAACUCUGCUGCACACAAAGAGAUCUGUGCCGUGCUGGCAGCUGUGACAGAUGUGAUCCGCUCACAGGGAGGCAAAGAGACUGAGACUGAGUACUUUGCUGCACUGAUGACCACACUGGAGGCAGUGGAUUCCCCUGAGUCAGUGGCUGCUGUUGCGUACUUGCUUAACCUUGUCUUGAAGCGAGUCCCCAGUCCAGUACUCAUAAAGAAGUUCUCAGACGCUUCAAAAGCCUUCAUGAGUAUCAUAUCCUCACAGGCCUGCAGCAGCUCCACCUCUGCACUGCGAUGGGUCCUCUCAUGCCUGGCCACACUGCUGCGAAAACAGGAUUUGGCAGCGUGGAGCUACCCUGUCACCCUCCAGGUCUACCACGGCUUGCUGAGCUUCUGUGUUCACACCAAACCCAAGGUUCGGAAAGCAGCUCAGCACGGUGUGUGCUCUGUCCUGAGGGGGAGCGAGUUCAUGUUUGGAGAUGAGGCUCCUGAGCACCAUCCUGCGGCACCCUCCAGUGCCAAGUUCUGCGUGCAGGAGAUUGAAAAAGCUGGAGGCACCAAGGAGGCUACCACCACACUGCACGUGCUGGCCCUCCUGCGGGACCUGCUGCCCUGCUUCCCUGCGGCUGUGCUGAAGACAUGCUGUGAGACCCUGCUCAGAGUCAUGACCCUCAGCCAUGUGUUGGUGACAGCAUGUGCCAUGCAGGCCUUCCAUAGCCUAUUCAGUGCCCAGCCCAGCACGUCCUGCCUGCCAGCUGAGCUCAAUGCCCAGAUCAUCACCGCACUGUACGACUACGUGCCCAAUGCCAGUGACCUGCAGCCGCUGCUCACCUGGCUGUCCACCAUGGAGAGGGCACACGUCAACCUGGGCAGACUGCAGAAGGACCUGUGCUGGGCUCACCUGCCCCGUCUCUUCUCAGCCACCAUGAAUUGCUUCCUGUCCCCACACUCGCAGGUGGUGGCAGCUGCAGCACAGACCCUUGAGACCCUCCUGAAUGAGUGCAUUGCUCCCCACAUGGAUGAACUAGGCAAUGUCUCUGCAUCUGCUCCAGCCCCUGGCUCCUACCUUUGCAAGAUGUUCAGGUCGGUGGAGGAAGGCCUGACAUACCGUUUCCAUGCGGCAUGGGAUGGCGUGCUGCAAGUACUGGAGGUUUUCUUCGAGGUGUGUGGGAAGCAGUGCCAUCCCAUCAUGAAGAAGUGCCUGCAGUCCCUGUGUGACCUGCGCCUCUCUCCGCACUUCCCCUACACCACUGAGGUGGACCAGGCGGUGGGGGCUGCUGUUGGUGCCAUGGGCCCUGAGGUGCUGCUGGAAGCUGUUCCCCUGCAGAUCGACGGCAAGGAGGAGACUCUGGAUUUCCCCCGCAGCUGGCUGCUGCCUGUGCUGCGGGACUACGUGCAGGGCACACGGCUUGGCUUCUUCACCAGCUACUUCCUGCCCUUGGCAGCCACUCUGAAGAGCAGAGCCUUGGAGUUUGCCCAAGCUGGGAAGAGCCUUGAAUCCAAGAUCUAUGACACACUGCAGUGGCAGGUCUGGACCCUGCUGCCUGGCUUCUGCACCCGCCCCACAGACGUGGUGGAGGCUUUCAAGGGGCUGGCACGCACCCUGGGCAUGGCCAUUAGCGAGCGCCCGGACCUCCGCCCCACCGUGUGCCAGGCCCUACGCACCCUCAUCCACCACGGCUGUGGGACAGAUGCAGAGCGAGCAGAAGUGGGUCGUUUUGCCAAAAAUUUCCUGCCCAUCCUAUUCAACGUGUAUAGCCAACCUGAGGAGGAUGGGGGCAGCAGUGGUCAACGGCGCUCUGUGCUGGACACCGUGCGUGCCUAUCUGACCAUCACGGACCCACAGAUGGUGUGUGGGUUCCUGCAGAAAGCCAGUGAGAAACUGACCAGUCCUGAGAGCACAGAGUUUGCCAGGCUCUCCAUUCUGGACCUGGUUGUGGCAAUGUCUCCCUAUGCCAGUGAGCAGGCCCUAGGCUCCCUGUACCAGACUAUCCAGCCUUCCCUCCAGAGCAAGGAUCACAGCAUGCAGAAGAAGGCAUACCGUGUGCUGGAGGAAGUAUGUGCUGCCCCGCAUGCCCCGUGCCAGGCCUUUGUCCACUCACACCUGGAAGACUUGCAGGCAGUGCUGCUGGAUUCACUCAAGAGUGCAGCGUCCCCAGCCAAGAGGCCCCGGCUGAAGUGCCUGUUCCACAUUGUAAAGCAGCUCUCAGCUGAGCAUGAGCCCUUCAUCACUGCCCUGGUCCCAGAGGUCAUCCUGUGCACCAAGGAGGUGUCGGUGGGAGCCCGCAAGAAUGCCUUCAUGCUGCUGGUGGAGAUGGGACAUGCUUUCAUCCGCUUUGGGCCCACUCCCCAAGAGGCUAUGGAGCGGUUCCUGCUCUUGGUCUACGCGGGGCUGACGGGUUCGGUCACCAUGAUCAGCUGCACGGUGCUGGCACUCACACGCCUGUUCUUUGAGUUCAAAGAUUACAUGGAGCUGAGCGUGGUGGAGCAGCUGCUGCAGAACAUCUGCCUGCUGCUGGGCUCUCGCACACGUGAUGUGGUGAAGGCAGCUCUGGGCUUCCUUAAAGUCAUGCUGCUGCUGGUUGACACCACACUGCUGGCCAAGCACGUCCAGACUAUGCUGGAGGCCAUAGGCAGCCUUUCAGAUGACAUGAGGCGCCACUUCCGCAUGAAGCUGAGAAACCUCUUCACCAGAUUCAUCCGCAAAUUCGGCUUCGAGCUGGUGCAGGGACUGCUGCCAGCUGAGUUCCACAAGGUUCUGGUGAAUAUCCGCAAGGCUGAAGCUCGCAGCCGCAAGCAGCGUGCCCUGAGGCAAGCAGCUGCAGAGACAGAGGAGGAGGAAGCACCAGCCCAGCCCAGAGGAGACAGCAUGGAGGAGAUCCUGGCAGACUCAGAGGAGGAGGAGGAAGAGGAGGAACGGCAACGGGGCAAGGUGCGGAAGAAACAAGCACGGCAGAAGGGCCAAGCGUGGCUGAAAGAAGGGGAAGAGGAUGAGCCUCUCAACUUCCUGGAUCCCAAUGUGUCCCAGCGAGUGCUGGCCACUGAGCCAAGCCUGAAAAGGCCCAGAGGAGUGAAGCACGACUUCCAGGUGUCUGAGGAUGGGCGCCUGAUCAUCCACGAUGAGGAGGAAGAGGUGGACAAUGAUGAAGCCAAAGGAGUGGACGAGGAAGUGGCAGAUGUGCUGCAAGAAGUGGGCCUUCGCAGUAAGAAAAGUCAGAAGCGUCGGUUCAGAGAAGAGCCAGAUGAUGAUGAACCAGAGACUGGGACCUACUCUCAGUACAGAGCUGGAGGCUCUGGGAUCCACCGGCCACUGGACAAGAAGCCAGCCUUUGGUGCAGAGUACAGAUCCAAGAAAGGCAAAGGUGAUGUGAAGAAGAAGGGCCAGCUUGACCCCUAUGCCUACAUCCCCCUGAACAGAGCUAAACUCAACAAAAGGAAGCAGGCAAAAAUGCAAGGUCAGUUCAAGGGCCUGAUGAAGGGUGCCCAGCGUGGGGCCAAGGCUGGGCGCAAGAACCGGCUGAAGGACCGUCGCCCUUGAGGAGCUGUGGAUGCUCUGUGCACCUGCCUGAGGACUGGUGAUAACCUGAGGUGUGCAGGCACAGGGGGACAGGGACUUUGUGAGGGCACACUCCCUAGGAAGGUACCCCUGUGGACUCCUGGCCCUGUCCUCCUGUGCCUAAAAGAAGGUGAUGUAAGCCUGGACUCCUCGUUUCUUUCCUGCAAACACCUCACACAGCAUGUCCCCUGCAGUGCAGCAGGUCCUGGGACGGAGGAGCUGGAGCAGAAGCCCUCUGUGGUGUCUGUCCUGUGGCUGUCACUGGUUCUGCAUCUGCUUUGCCCAUCUCUUACUGCAAGGCAGAAAGGGUUUUGCUGCAAUGUUUUUUUCUGGCUGAAAAACUGCUGCUGUUAACCUCAGUGUCUGGGCUUUUCUCUUACCUAGGAGUGCUGAGAUGGAGCCUUUUCUCUGCUCUGACCACAUCCCAGCAGCACAAGUAAUUCCGGGUCUUUAGCUGCCCAGGUUAGAUGAGCAACUGUUUUCACCCAGUUAUUUCUGCUGAGCCCAAAAGAUGGUGUUUGGAAAAAGCAUGCUGAAGAAAAGAGUGGAGCUGAGGGUAGCAAAUAGAGGAUACAGGUCCCAUGGCUCACAAUGCAAAGAGCAUGUAUUUGUGAACGUAUCUUUCUUCCUCUUUUGUAUUAAAAAGCCUUUAGUCCUUUGUCGUUUCCUAUCAUGGUAGCUUACAUGCUGGAAUUGCAACGCUUUUCAGUCUCCUAAUAAGCUAAAGGGAUUGUGCUUGUUCAGCCUCUUACCGUGGGCUGCUUUCUGUAGGCUGCAAAUCCAGUUUGUGGCUCUCUGCUUCUUUUUGUUUGGUUGUUUUCUUUUUUUUCCAAGAUCCCUUUAAAAGCUGAGGAGCUGUUGUACUGGUAUUGCUAUGCCUUGGCUGGAGAACUAUCUCUAUCCUGCACUGCUCAGGGUCUCUCUUGGACCCUUGAGCCACUGAGGUGCCCAAGUGCUGCUGCUCUGAUCCUGCCAGAAGGCAGCUUGCAGCCUUGGCUUACAGGACAGGCAGCUCCAGCAGAACCUCCUAUCCAUAUUCAGCCAGAGGAGCUGUGUGGCUGCAGCUAAAGCCUCAUUGCCCUGAUACCCUUCAUCUCCUAAGAGGCAGGACAGUGAGAAAAUGUGCAAUUGCUUUCCAAGCUAGCCAACACCUGUAACCUGCAUCUGUGAGCCCAUCACAGCUAUCUUUCUGGUUUUUUUCUUCUCUCCUUGGAGACAAGGCCUGGAGAAGGUAGUUGCUAAUUCAUUUAAAAGCUCCAGAUUACUCACUGCAUUGUUCUUCAUUUGCAUGUUGUUGCUUAAAUUAGUGUAUGCCUGUGUGGAGCAGAAGAGUUUCAUUAGCACAGAGGAUGGUGUUGCCUGAGCCACUGUCCAGAGAACAGAUUC